rnacentral:rRNA from 1 species
AUUGAACGCUGGCGGCAGGCUUAACACAUGCAGGUCGAGCGGAGAUGAGGUGCUUGCACCUUAUCUUAGCGGCGGACGGGUGAGUAAUGCUUAGGAAUCUGCCAUUUAGUGGGGGACAACAUUCCGAAAGGAAUGCUAAUACCGCAUACGUCCUACGGGAGAAAGCAGGGGAUCUUCGGACCUUGCGCUAAAUGAUGAGCCUAAGUCGGAUUAGCUAGUUGGUGGGGUAAAGGCCUACCAAGGCGACGAUCUGUAGCGGGUCUGAGAGGAUGGUCCGCCACACUGGGACUGAGACACGGCCCAGACUCCUACGGGAGGUAGCAGUGGGGAAUAUUGGACAAUGGGCGGAAGCCUGAUCCAGCCAUGCCGCGUGUGUGAAGAAGGCCUUUUGGUUGUAAAGCACUUUAAGCGAGGAGGAGGCUACUAGUACUAAUACUACUGGAUAGUGGGCGUUACUCGCAGAAUAAGCACCGGCUAACUCUGUGCCAGCCGCCGCGGUAACAC